rnacentral:rRNA from 1 species
UACGUAGGGACCGAGCGUUGUCCGGAAUCAUUGGGCGUAAAGAGCGUGUAGGCGGCCACUUAAGUCCUGCGUGAAAUCUUGCGGCUCAACCGCAAGCGGUCGUGGGAAACUGGGUGGCUAGAGUGCGGGGAGAGGAGAGUGGAAUUCCUGAGUGAGGUGGUGAAUGCGCAGAUAUCAGGAAGAACACCCGUGGCGAAGGCGGCUCUCUGGACCGAUACUGACGCUGAGGCGCGAAAGCGUGGGGAGCAAACAGG